rnacentral:rRNA from 1 species
AGGGUUGCCAACCCGCGAGGGGGAGCUAAUCCCAGAAAACCGAUCGUAGUCCGGAUUGCACUCUGCAACUCGAGUGCAUGAAGCUGGAAUCGCUAGUAAUCGCGGAUCAGCAUGCCGCGGUGAAUACGUUCCCGGGUCUUGUACACACCGCCCGUCACACCAUGGGAGUGGGUUUUACCAGAAGUGGCUAGUCUAACCGCAAGGAGGACGGUCACCACGGUAGGAUUCAUGACUGGGGUGAAGUCGUAACAAGGUAGCCGUAUCGGAAGGUGCGGCUGGAUCACCUCCUUU